rnacentral:rRNA from 1 species
UACGAAGGGGGCUAGCGUUGUUCGGAAUUACUGGGCGUAAAGCGCGCGCAGGCGGUUCUCCAAGUCAGUGGUGAAAGCCCGGAGCUCAACUCCGGAAUUGCCAUUGAAACUGUUGAACUUGAGGAUGAGAGAGGUGAGUGGAAUUCCCAGUGUAGAGGUGAAAUUCGUAGAUAUUGGGAAGAACACCGGUGGCGAAGGCGGCUCACUGGCUCAUUACUGACGCUCAGGCGCGAUAGCGUGGGGAUCAAACAGA